GGCCAUUUCAGUCUGCUGGUCCUACGGC
rnacentral:piRNA from 1 species